rnacentral:rRNA from 1 species
GGGGAAUAUUGCACAAUGGGGGAAACCCUGAUGCAGCGACGCCGCGUGGAGGAAGAAGGUCUUCGGAUUGUAAACUCCUGUUGUUGAGGAAGAUAAUGACGGUACUCAACAAGGAAGUGACGGCUAACUACGUGCCAGCAGCCGCGGUAAAACGUAGGUCACAAGCGUUGUCCGGAAUUACUGGGUGUAAAGGGAGCGCAGGCGGGAAGACAAGUUGGAAGUGAAAUCCAUGGGCUCAACCCAUGAACUGCUUUCAAAACUGUUUUUCUUGAGUAGUGCAGAGGUAGGCGGAAUUCCCGGUGUAGCGGUGGAAUGCGUAGAUAUCGGGAGGAACACCAGUGGCGAAGGCGGCCUACUGGGCACCAACUGACGCUGAGGCUCGAAAGUGUGGGUAGCAAACAGGAUUAGAUACCCUGGUAGUCCACACUGUAAACGAUGAUUACUAGGUGUUGGAGGAUUGACCCCUUCAGUGCCGCAGUUAACACAAUAAGUAAUCCACCUGGGGAGUACGACCGCAAGGUUGAAACUCAAAGGAAUUGACGGGGGCCCGCACAAGCAGUGGAGUAUGUGGUUUAAUUCGACGCAACGCGAAGAACCUUACCAAGUCUUGACAUCCUGCGACGGUGCUGGAAACAGUGCUUUCCUUCGGGACGCAGAGACAGGUGGUGCAUGGUUGUCGUCAGCUCGUGUCGUGAGAUGUUGGGUUAAGUCCCGCAACGAGCGCAACCCUUAUGGUCAGUUACUACGCAAGAGGACUCUGGCCAGACUGCCGUUGACAAAACGGAGGAAGGUGGGGAUGACGUCAAAUCAUCAUGCCCUUUAUGACUUGGGCUACACACGUACUACAAUGGCGUUAAACAAAGAGAAGCAAGACCGCGAGGUGGAGCAAAACUCAGAAACAACGUCCCAGUUCGGACUGCAGGCUGCAACUCGCCUGCACGAAGUCGGAAUUGCUAGUAAUCGCAGAUCAGCAUGCUGCGGUGAAUACGUUCCCG